rnacentral:rRNA from 1 species
AUGAACGCUGGCGGCGUGCCUAAUACAUGCAAGUCGAGCGAACAGAUGAGGAGCUUGCUCCUCUGACGUUAGCGGCGGACGGGUGAGUAACACGUGGAUAACCUACCUAUAAGACUGGGAUAACUUCGGGAAACCGGAGCUAAUACCGGAUAAUAUAUUGAACCGCAUGGUUCAAUAGUGAAAGACGGUUUUGCUGUCACUUAUAGAUGGAUCCGCGCCGCAUUAGCUAGUUGGUAAGGUAACGGCUUACCAAGGCAACGAUGCGUAGCCGACCUGAGAGGUUGAUCGCCCACACUGGAGCGAAACAGGGGUCCAGCCUCCGGCGGGAGGCGGAAGAGGGGAUUCUCCCGAAGUGGGGGAAACCCUGACGGAGCACCGCCGGGUGAGUGAGAAAGUUCUUGGGAUCGAAAAACUCUUUUAUGGGGAAAAAAAAAAUGGGAAAUUAACAGUGCCGGUCUGGACGUUCCUUAACAAAAAAGCCACGGCUAACUCCGUC